UAUCCCUACGGGAGGCAGCAGUAAGGGAUAUUGGUCAAUGGGGGAAACCCUGAACCAGCAACGCCGCGUGAGGGAAGACGGUUUUCGGAUUGUAAACCUCUGUCCUCUGUGAAGAUGAUGACGGUAGCAGAGGAGGAAGCUCCGGCUAACUCCGUGCCAGCAGCCGCGGUAAUACGGAGGAUGCGAGCGUUAUCCGGAUUUAUUGGGUUUAAAGGGUGCGUAGGCGGUUUUUUAAGUUAGUGGUUAAACGUCGGGGCUUCACCUUGAUUUACCAUUAAUACUGUAAGACUCGAGUUCAGACGAGG
rnacentral:rRNA from 1 species